rnacentral:rRNA from 1 species
UACGAAGGGUGCAAACGUUGCUCGGAAUUACUGGGCGUAAAGCGUGCGCAGGCGGUUUCACAAGCUCGAUGUGAAAGCCCCGGGCUUAACCUGGGAAUGGCAUUGAGGACUGUGGAGCUCGAGUGCGGCAGAGGGAGGUGGAAUUCCACGUGUAGCAGUGAAAUGCGUAGAGAUGUGGAGGAACACCGAUGGCGAAGGCAGCCUCCUGGGCCGACACUGACGCUCAUGCACGAAAGCGUGGGGAGCAAACAGG